rnacentral:rRNA from 1 species
UUUCCGGUUGAUCCUGCCCGGACCCCACUGCUAUCGAGAUAGGACUAAGACAUGCUAGUUGAGCGCCUCCCAGCCACGACGGAGGCGCAGCGUACAGCUCAGUAACACGUGGCUAACCUGCCCUUGGGACGGGAAUACCCCCGGGAAACUGGGGCUAAUCCCCGAUAGGUGAAGAACUCUGGAAUGGGUCUCCACCCAAAAGACGCUUAAAUCAUGCUUUUAGGCGCCGCCCAAGGAUGGGGCCGCGACCGAUCAGGUAGUUGGUGAGGCAAUGGCUCACCAAGCCUUUUACCGGUGCGGGCCGUGAGAGCGGGAGCCCGGAGAUGGGCACUGAGACAAGGGCCCAGGCCCUACGGGGCGCAGCAGUCGCGAAAACUUUGCAAUACACGAAAGUGUGACAGGGCUAUCCCGAGUGCCAUCCGCUGAGGAAGGCUUUUACCCAGUUUAGCAAGCUGGGGGAAUAAGGAGAGGGCAAGUCUGGUGUCAGCCGCCGCGGUAAUACCAGCUCUCCGAGUGGUGUGGAUGUUUAUUGGGCCUAAAGCAUCCGUAGCUGGCCAAGUUAGUCCCCUGUUAAAUCCACUGAUUUAAUCAUUGGCGUGCGGGGGAUACUGCUCGGCUAGGGGACGAGAGAGGCAGACGGUAUUUUCGGGGUAGGGGUGAAAUCCUAUAAUCCCGGAAAGACCACCAGUGGCGAAGGCUGUCUGCUAGAACGCGCCCGACGGUGAGGGAUGAAAGCUGGGGGAGCGAACCGGAUUAGAUACCCGGGUAGUCCCAGCUGUAAACGAUGCAGGCUAGGUGUUUGGACGGCCACGUGCCGUUCUAGUGCCGCAGGGAAGCUGUUAAGCCUGCCGCCUGGGGAGUACGAUCGCAAGAUUGAAACUUAAAGGAAUUGGCGGGGGAGCACCACAAGGGGUGAAGCUUGCGGUUUAAUUGGAUUCAACGCCGGA